rnacentral:rRNA from 1 species
UACGUAGGCCGCGAGCGUUGUUCGGAGUUACUGGGCGUAAAGGGUGUGUAGGCGGUCCUUUAAGUUUGGUGUGAAAUCUCCCGGCUCAACUGGGAGGGUGCGCCGGAUACUGAGGGGCUAGAGUGCGGGAGAGGAGAGUGGAAUUCCUGGUGUAGCGGUGAAAUGCGUAGAUAUCAGGAGGAACACCGGUGGUGUAAACGGCUCUCUGGACCGCAACUGACGCUGAGACACGAAAGCGUGGGUAGCAAACAGG